GACGAACGCUGGCGGCCUGCUUAACACAUGCAAGUCGAACGGUAAGGCCCUUCGGGGUACACGAGUGGCGAACGGGUGAGUAACACGUGGGUGAUCUGCCCUGCACUUCGGGAUAAGCCUGGGAAACUGGGUCUAAUACCGGAUAGGACCACUGCCUGCAUGGGUGGUGGUGGAAAGCUUUUGCGGUGUGGGAUGGGCCCGCGGCCUAUCAGCUUGUUGGUGGGGUGAUGGCCUACCAAGGCGACGACGGGUAGCCGGCCUGAGAGGGUGACCGGCCACACUGGGACUGAGAUACGGCCCAGACUCCUACGGGAGGCAGCAGUGGGGAAUAUUGCACAAUGGGCGCAAGCCUGAUGCAGCGACGCCGCGUGAGGGAUGACGGCCUUCGGGUUGUAAACCUCUUUCAGCACCGACGAAGCGCAAGUGACGGUAGGUGCAGAAGAAGGACCAGCCGACUACGUGCCAGCAGCCGCAGUAA
rnacentral:rRNA from 1 species